AACGAACGCUGGCGGCAGGCUUAACACAUGCAAGUCGAGCGCCCCGCAAGGGGAGCGGCAGACGGGUGAGUAACGCGUGGGAAUCUACCGUGCCCUACGGAAUAACGCAUGGACACGUGUGCUAAUACCGUAUACGCCCUACGGGGGAAAGAUUUAUCGGGGUAUGAUGAGCCCGCGUUGGAUUAGCUAGUUGGGGGGGUAAAGGCCUACCAAGGCGACGAUCCAUAGCUGGUCUGAGAGGAUGAACAGCCACAUUGGGACUGAGACACGGCCCAAACUCCUACGGGAGGCAGCAGUGGGGAAUAUUGGACAAUGGGCGCAAGCCUGAUCCAGCCAUGCCGCGUGAGUGAUGAAGGUCUUAGGAUUGUAAAGCUCUUUCACCGGUGAAGAUAAUGACGGUAACCGGAGAAGAAGCCCCGGCUAACUUCGUGCCAGCCGCCGCCGUAA
rnacentral:rRNA from 1 species